rnacentral:rRNA from 1 species
CCUACGGGGGGCAGCAGUAGGGAAUAUUGCUCAAUGGGGGAAACCCUGAAGCAGCAACGCCGCGUGGAGGAUGAAGGUUUUCGGAUUGUAAACUCCUUUUGUUAGAGAAGAUAAUGACGGUAUCUAACGAAUAAGCACCUGCUAACUCCGUGCCAGCAGCCGCGGUAAUACGGAGGGUGCAAGCGUUACUCGGAAUCACUGGGCGGAAAGAUCGCGUAGGCGGGAUAGCAAGUCAGAUGUGAAAUCCUAUGGCUUAACCAUAGAACUGCAUUUGAAACUGGUAUUCUAGAGUAUGGGAGAGGUAGGUGGAAUUCUUGGUGUAGCGGUAAAAUGCGUAGAGAUCAAGAGGAAUACUCAUUGCGAAGGCGGCCUGCUAGAACAAAACUGACGCUGAGGCGCGAAAGCGUGGGGAGCAAACAGGAUUAGAUACCCGAGUAGUC